CUUUUUUCUCACCAUUCUAGAAUUCUCUGAGUUUUUUGAGCUUAGAGCAGAGUUUCUCAAGAGCUGCAAUACUGGCAUUUGAGUCAAGUCGUUCUUUAUUGUUGGUGGUGGAGGGGGCACCCUGUAUAUUGUAGGACGUUGGGCAGCAUCUCUGACUUCUACCUACUAGAUGCCAGUAUCUCAGUUUUCUUAAAAGACUUUUUUUUUUUUUUUUUUUUUUUUGAGAUGGAGUCUUGCUGUGUUGCCUAGGCUGGAGUGCAGUGGCACCAUGUCGACUCACUGCAACCUCCGCCUCCCCGGUUCAAGCGAUUCUCCUGCCUCAGCCUCCUGAGUAGCUGGGAUUACAGGUGAGCACCACCAUGCCCAGCUAAUCGUAAAAGACUUUUCAUAAAACUUCAGAACUCCUUAAAAACUAGUGAAUAGCCAAGGUGAAGAAAGCCCUCAGGCUUCUGACUUUAGACCCCAAUCCCUGGGACUCCCACACUCAGCAAAGAAAGCUGGGUGCCUGCACCCUGGAUCUCUGAGCAAACCUGUCUUAUGGCUGUGGGCAACUCAGGAACAUGAAUUAGCACGAGAAUCUGGAGUUUUUCUUUCCUUUUCUGGGUCUCACUCUGUCACCCAGGCUGGAGUGCAGUGGCGCAGUCAUGGCUCCCUGUAACCUCAACCUCUCAGACUCCAGCAAUCCUCCUGCGACAGCGAAGUUAAUCUUCUGGUUCGGUUCACAAAGUGCAGGAGAGCCUACCAGCUUGAGAGAAAAGGAGUCAUGCUGUAUUUGUUUCCUUGAGUGAAUGGCCACUCAGCUGCUGUGUUUCUCCCUGCAUGUGGCUGAAGUUUACAUUGGAGGGUGACUUCCUGAUUGCCAGUUAGCAUAUGUGUCCGGCUACCAGCCGCCUGACUGGCUGAGGAUGCUCUUUGUUUGUUCAAGGAUGAACGUUCUCCCCCUGCCUUGCAGGAAGAGGGGAGCAAGGUGCGCCCGGGAGACGCGUGACAGUGCCCUGUAAAGCCAGUAGAGGAAAUCUUGUGGAGUGUGAAUGCACAGGCUUAGAUUCCCCUGUCCCUGAGUCGGGGGCAUGUGCUCGUGGAGAAUGACCCUAUCAAGUUCAAGGUGUGGCAUCUCCUGAUCCAGCAACAGGAUUUGUUCCAGAGAAAAAUCCCCAGGUCUUGGGACUGUUGACAGAUGGCCAUGACUAUGCUUAAUGUGGUCAUCAACUGAGAAUGGUCCGUCUCAUCUUUGAGUAUGCAAUUACCUUUAUAGCUGAUUAUGACACCCUCAGAUCAUAUCAUGAGGUGGACAAGAUGAGUCCAUGGCCCAUGCUGAGAACUGGUACUUCUGUCUUCAUAGACUCACUCACCAACCAGAGAUGUACGACGGACCCCAAAUGGUCUGUCAAAAAUGUGAACUUGCACUAAGACAAGACCCAACAUCAGUGACAUUGGACACAAGAUAGAAAUCAG
rnacentral:lncRNA from 1 species